GGCUGGGUCUCACGCAACGGGCGUUUACGAACCUCGUCAGGUCCGGAAGGAAGCAGCGAUAAGUAAAUUAACCCGGGUGCCGUGAGGAAACCCAGCCUCU
rnacentral:SRP_RNA from 1 species